rnacentral:rRNA from 1 species
UGGGGAAUCUUGCACAAUGGGGGAAACCCUGAUGCAGCGACGCCGCGUGAGUGAUGAAGCCCUUCGGGGUGUAAAGCUCUUUCGGCAGGGACGAUAAUGACGGUACCUGAAGAAGAAGCUGCGGCUAACUACGUGCCAGCAGCCGCGGUAAUACGUAGGCAGCGAGCGUUGUUCGGAGUUACUGGGCGUAAAGCGUGCGUAGGCGGUGUCUUAAGUUUGUUGUGAAAUCUCCCGGCUCAACUGGGAGGGUGCGGCGAAUACUGAGAUGCUGGAGUGCGGGAGAGGUAAGCGGAAUUCCUGGUGUAGCGGUGAAAUGCGUAGAUAUCAGGAGGAACACCUGCGGUGUAGACGGCUUACUGGACCGUAACUGACGCUGAGGCACGAAAGCGUGGGUAGCAAAC